rnacentral:rRNA from 1 species
GCUGGGAGGACCACCUUCCAAGGCUAAAUACUCGCGAGCGACCGAUAGUGAACAAGUACCGUGAGGGAAAGGUGAAAAGCACCCCGGUGAGGGGAGUGAAAGAGAACCUGAAACCGUGUGUCUACAAGCGGUGGAAGCCCGGUGAUGCCUGGGGCGACCUGGUCAUCUGGGCGACUGCGUACCUUUUGCAUAAUGGGCCGACGAGUUACUCUGCGUAGCAAGGUUAAGCCGUGAGGUGAAGCCGUAGCGAAAGCGAGUCUGAAGAGGGCGUGCAGUUACGUGGAGUAGACCCGAAGCCGGAUGAGCUACCCAUGGCCAGGGUGAAACCGGUUUACCAGCCGGUGGAGGCCCGAACCCGUCAAGGUUGAAAACUUGUGGGAUGAGCUGUGGGUAGGAGUGAAAAGCUAAGCGAAUUCGGUGAUAGCUGGUUCUCCCCGAAAGAUAUUUAGGUAUCGCCUCCCGAGGUGGCUGAUGGCGGUAGAGCACUGGAUGGACAAGGGGCCCCACCAGGCUACCAACUCCAACCAAACUCCGAAUGCCAUCAAGACCGAUCGGGGGAGACAGACUGUGGGGGCUAAGCUCCAUGGUCGAGAGGGAAACAGCCCAGACCGCCAGCUAAGGUCCCAAAAUCCCGGCUAAGUGGGAAAGGUUGUCGAGACGCCUAGACAGCCAGGAGGUUGGCUUAGAAGCAGCCAUCCUUUAAAGAAAGCGUAACAGCUCACUGGUCAAGUGGCUCGGCGCCGAAAAUCCAACGGGGCUCAAGCCGGGUACCGAAGCUGCGGCUCUCUCUGACAAGAGAGGGGGUAGGGGAGCGUUCCCUGCCGCGUCGAAGGCAGAUCGGAAGGACUGCUGGAGCGCAGGGAAGUGACUAUGUCGGCAUAAGUAACGAUAAAACGGGUGAAAAACCCGUUCGCCGAAAACCCAAGGUUUCCUGGGGAAGGGUAAUCCUCCCAGGGUUAGUCGGUCCCUAAGCCGAGGCCGUCAGGCGUAGGUGAUGGGAAACGGGUUAAUAUUCCCGUACCACCGGCAGGGCGUUAUUCAGCGAUGGGGUGACGGAGAAGGGUAGACCAGCCGACGAUUGGUCGUGUCGGUUGAAGCCGGUAGGAGGAUGGCCCAGGCAAAUCCGGGCUGUCGCUAACUCCGAGAGGCGAGUACGAGAGGCCUAGCCUCAUAAAGUGGUUGAGCCCAUGCUUCCAAGAAAAACCUCUAGUGAGUCCUGUAGGUGACCGUACCGGAAACCGACGCAGGUGGGUGGGGUGAGCAACCCGAGGCGCUUGAGAGAACCGUCGUUAAGGAACUCGGCAAAAUGACCCCGUAACUUCGGGAGAAGGGGUGCCUCAUUAGGCUGAAAGGGCUUGCCCCUGGAGGCCGAAGAGGCCGCAGAGAAAUGGCUCAGGCGACUGUUUACUUAAAACACAGGACUCUGCUAACGCGCAAGCGGAUGUAUAGGGUCUGACGCCUGCCCGGUGCUGGAAGGUUAAGGGGAGGGGUUAGUGGCGGCAACGCUGCGAAGCUCUGAACUGAAGCCCCAGUAAACGGCGGCCGUAACUAUAACGGUCCUAAGGUAGCGAAAUUCCUUGUCGGGUAAGUUCCGACCUGCAUGAAUGGCGUAACGACUUGAGCGCUCUCUCAACGACGGACUCAGUGAAAUUGUAGUGCCAGUGAAAAUGCUGGCUACCCACGACGGGACGGAAAGACCCCGUGCAGCUUUACUAUACCUUGUCAUUGGAGUUUGAUGUUGGAUGUGUAGGAUAGGUGGGAGGCGUAGAAGCGGGAGCGCUAGCUCUCGUGGAGCCACCGUUGAAAUACCACCCUUCCUUCAUUGAGCUUCUAACCUCAAGCCGUCAGCCGGUUGAGGGACAGUGAUAGGCGGGUAGUUUGACUGGGGCGGUCGCCUCCUAAACUGUAACGGAGGCGCCCCAAGGUCCCCUCAG